UUUUUUGCUCCGUGUGAAUAACUGUUACACGCGCGUUAAAAGUGCAGCAUCUCUCUUCCUCAAUCAGUUGAACAUCUCCGAGAGAGCUGAGGUUACCUGUGCUGGUGAGGAUUCAUAAGGAUUGAACGCGGGUGGACAAAUGUCCGAUUUGAGCAAAACGCAGUGGUUUGCAGGCUGUUUACCUUGGGGAAAAGUUCUGGACUGCAGUAAAGCAAGCGCUCAGUUUUAUUGACCAGGAUGAAACAAUCAAACCGUGCACUGGAAUUGAUUGACUUGAGCUUUUUGUCUGCUGAGGAAGAGGCAGCAAUCCGUCAAGUGCUUCUGAGAGAUGAAGAUUUAAAACGACUGGAGAGUGGACGAGUCAGGAAACUGAGGCAGUCAGUCCCUGACUUUCAACAGCUGAAGACUUUGACAGGUGAGUGGUUUGAAGAGCUCAGGAUCAAGCGAUACGGGCAGCAGACGGAUGUCACAGCAGUGGUGAGGUCCUCCAUGAGAUGGAAGAAAACAGCAGAGGCUUCAUCUUCUCCAAGAGUGGUUGGAAGAAAAGAAAAACUACGAGCAGAACUCAAUGGCACUGACCCACAAUGCAAUUCAUCAGAAGUACAACCCAAAGAGCUCUCUGGUGACCGAAAAACAACUGUUUUUCCCUUCUUAAGUGCAGUUCAAGACACUAAACCUGAAAGAGGCUCCACAAAACAUGCAACAAAUCCAGAGCCAAGGCGAAAUUUUUCACUCCCUCCAGCGCUACGGAAAGAGCAAUCAUUUGAAGAGAACUGGGUAAAGAUCUCCCUUGAACCGAAUGAAGUGAAACCUAUGCAUGAUGAAAGCAAUAGUGUUGGACCUAAACCAAAUCACAUGUUGAGAAAACAGAGACCUUAAAGAAGCAGGACACAACAGUCCAAACACAGAGCCUCCAUCUUUAAAUUUCAUGGAUCAAACAUAAUUUCAGAUUGUUUUUCAAGCUGAACCUAAAGAAUUUAACCAAGAUGUUUUCUUAGAAAGAUGUUCAUCAACUGAGUUUCAGAAUCAACCACAGACUUCCUUAGUUUUCACCAAUGAUAGGCCAGAUUUUACUAUACACUCAGAUCACGAAGGUUCAGAGGAGGUUAAUGAGUCUACUAAUGCUUUCCAAGAUGGUACAAGCAGAGAUCAGCAGUGUUCAGUUGCAUGUACGUUUGGAGAGUCUGGGAGUGAUAAACUGGGUCCCUCAGACUCUGAGAAUGAGCAUUAUAAGAGAAUGAUGGUCUCCAGAGAUAUUCUUAAUGAUGAGGCAAGUUCAGACAGAAAAACAAAUCAAUAAGCAGUCCUCUGCUGAAAAAGUGUCCCAAAGGCAGUCACUAAAAGGGGGUAUUGAAAUGGAUUCUCAUGAAUUUCCGUCUGACACUCUGCAGGGGAAAGAUGCUUCCAGUAAUUUCUGGCGAUGACCGACCAGUGGAACUGGAAAAGAAAUCCCCUAAAAUAAUUAGCUAUUGCACAAUAAAACAGCUGAUAUAAGUGUAGUAGAAGAUUUCAAAAUGUCAUCACCACCUUCAAAACCAAGUGUCAGUGCAAAGAUAUCAUGAUGCUCAUGAAGAUAAAAGAAAAAAAUAAGAUAAAGUCAUCACAUGAUUAGAAUUUAGCAAAAGACACUAACAUUACAACUCAAGUUUUAGCACAGUUAAGCCAAGACUACCUUUCUAUGAUGGGAAAUUAGUGCACACUGGAAAUGCUGGAGUCAUGCACGUUGACACUAAAUAUAAUGAAUAAAAAAAUGAGUUUGUCAAAACUGUUGUUGAACCAAUUCAACCAGCUAAACCUACACGUGAAGAUGUUGCUGGGCGGGGUCAAGGUUCUUCAAAGAUGAAGGAUGAGGAGGACAAUGCUGAAACCGAGCAGAGGAUGAGGUCAAAUAUAGUACUAAGUGUUCUGGCCAGAGCUCAAAAGGCAAGACCACCCAUCCUGCAGAAGAUCACUCCUCUGGAGCCAAAGCAGGAGACUAGAAAUGAUACGGUUCCCACAACAAACCUUAUGGCAUUUGAAUCUCCAGAUCCAACAGAAAUGGAAGGAUGAAGGCGUUGAUUCAGAUGAUGAUGAUUCAUUGUCCAGCUAUGGGUCAAAUCUCUUGCAGAAGAGGAUAUUCGGCUAGCGCGUUGUCUCUGACUCAUGUGGGUUGAAGAACAGCACCGGGGAGAUUCAUGUAUGGCUGUAGGAGGCAAAAGAAUUACGCCGCCUGAAGCCUCAGGGAGUCGUUUCUUUUGUUAAAUGGUGAGGGCGUGCCUGUCAUCUGAUACGGACAUGACUUUCAAAGCAGCUAAAGCCAUUGUUCCAUCUCUAACUCUCUCAUGCUUCAUCUUUGUCAUGUUUGAAGUGUUUUUUCUAUCAAAAUGACAUGAGAAGAAAGGAAAUGACCCAGAUGACCUAUUUCAUUCAUUUGGUUUGGUUUAAAAGAUAAAUAUUAUUUACAGAACUAACUUCAUCGUAACAUUUUCACAAACUCAUUUUACACAUGGUCAGACAUGUUUUUCCUGAUGCCGUUUUAUAGGUUUAAAAUGUCUAAUCUAGCACUAUAUUUAUGUACUUUUUUUUUUUUUUUUUUUUUUUUUACGUAAGCUACUGUGCUAAUGCCUCCAGUCAUUUUAAUUAAAGCUUAUUUUAAGAUUACAUUACAAAAAGUAAUGCAUUUUUUAUUUUUAAAAAAUAUUUUAACAUAAAAACUGAAUUAAUUUUCUUAAUAAAAUUUCUUAUUUCUUUCUUUUGAUUUUGGGGUGAAAUA